UACGAAGGGGGCGAGCGUUGUUCGGAUUUACUGGGCGUAAAGGGCGCGCAGGCGGCUUUGUUUGUCAGGCGUGAAAGCCCCGGGCUUAACCUGGGAACUGCGUUUGAUACGGCAGGGCUAGAGUUCGGGAGAGGAGAGUGGAAUUCCAGGUGUAGCGGUGAAAUGCGUAGAUAUCUGGAGGAACACCGGUGGCGAAGGCGGCAUCCUGGACCAAUACUGACACUGAGGAGCGAAAGCCAGGGGAGCGAACGGG
rnacentral:rRNA from 1 species